rnacentral:lncRNA from 1 species
AUGACUCUUAAGGAGCAUGCUGCCUUCAAGCAUCUGUUUAACAAAGCACAUCUUGCACCGCCCUUAAUCCAUUUAACUCUGAGUGGACACAGCACAUGUUUCAGAGAGCACAGGGUUGGGGGUAAGGUCACAGAUCAACAGGAUCCCAAGGCAGAAGAAUUUUUCUUAGUACAGAACAAAAUGAAAAGUCUCCCAUGUCUACUUCUUUCUACACAGACGCGGCAACCAUCCGAUUUCUCAAUCUUUUCCCCACCUUUCCCCCCUUUCUAUUCCACAAAGCCGCCAUUGUCAUCCUGGCCCGUUCUCAAUGAGCUGAUGGGCACACCCCCCAGACGGGGUGGUGGCCGGGCAGAGGGGCUCCUCACUUCCCAGUAG